CGUCGUCAGCUUACCCUGUGAAGGUUUAACAGUAAGCAAAAUGGGCACACCCAAAAACGUCAGGUCGAGGUGUAGCGUACGAAGUGGGAAGAAAUGGGCUACAUUUUCUUUACAAAGAAUAUUACGAAUGGUGUAAUGAAACAUAUACCUGAAGGUGGAUUUAGUAGUAAAAAGUAAACAGAGCGCACUUUUGAAUUAGGCUCUGAGACGCGCACACACCGCCCGUCACUCUCCCCUUAUAUAUACCAUCCAAACAUUCCUAAUAAUUUACAAACCAACACGGGGAGGCAAGUCGUAACAUGG
rnacentral:rRNA from 1 species